rnacentral:rRNA from 1 species
UCCCGCAACGAGCGCAACCCUCGACCUUAGUUGCCAGCAUUCAGUUGGGCACUCUAAGGUGACUGCCGGCUAAAAGUCGGAGGAAGGUGGGGAUGACGUCAAAUCAUCAUGCCCCUUAUGACCUGGGCUACACACGUGCUACAAUGGGCGGUACAAAGGGUCGCGAACCCGCGAGGGGGAGCCAAUCCCAAAAAGCCGCUCUCAGUUCGGAUUGCAGGCUGCAACUCGCCUGCAUGAAGCCGGAAUCGCUAGUAAUCGCGGAUCAGCAUGCCGCGGUGAAUACGUUCCCGGGCCUU